rnacentral:rRNA from 1 species
GCGCGAAAACUUUACAAUGCUGGCAACAGCGAUAAGGGAACCUCGAGUGCCAGGUUACAAAUCUGGCUGUCGAGAUGCCUAAAAAGCAUUUCAUAGCAAGGGCCGGGCAAGACCGGUGCCAGCCGCCGCGGUAACACCGGCGACUCGAGUGGUAACCGUUAUUAUUGGGUCUAAAGGGUCUGUAGCCGGCCGGAUAAGUCUCUUGAGAAAUCUGGCAGCUUAACUGUCAGGCUUUCAGGAGAUACUGUCUGGCUCGAGGCCGGGAGAGGUGAGAGGUACUUCAGGGGUAGGGGUGAAAUCUUGUAAUCCUUGAAGGACUACCAGUGGCGAAGGCGUCUCACCAGAACGGACCUGACGGCAAGGGACGAAAGCUAGGGGCACGAACC